rnacentral:tRNA from 1 species
GCGAGUGUAGCACAUCGGUAGUGCACGACCUUCCCAAGGUUGUGAGGGCGGUUCGACUCCGCUCACUCGCU